AAAUGUGAGGGCGAUCUGGCUGCAACACCUGUCACCCCAGUGAUCACCGAGGUUGACUCAGCUGAUCUGGCUCCCCAAGUGGUGUCUCCUUCCUCCCUUGCCCCUUCCUCUGUGUCCCUUCCAAAGCUGUGCACUCAAUCAAAGAAGAUAACUUCCCCCCCAUAGAGGAGAACCAUUCCUUGGCCCCCUGCUAGAAAGGAAUUCCAGUCCAAAGCCUGCUCGUGAUU
rnacentral:snRNA from 1 species